GGUCUUGUUUUGGGGUAUCUCAGGUUUGGGGAUGUGCAGGUUUGAGGUGUCCUGGGUUGGGGGGUCCUGGAUUUGGGGGUCUCUUGGUUUGGGGUGUCUUGGGUUUGGGGAUGUGCAGGUUUGAGAUGUCCUGCUUUGGUGGGUCCUGGGUUGAGGUGUCCUGGUUUGGUGGGUCCUGGUUUGGGGGUGUCCAGGGUUCAAGAGGUCUUGGGUUUGGGGAUGUCAAGGUUUGAGGUGUCCUGCUUUGGGGGAAUCUUGUUUUGGGGUGUCCUGAUUUGGGGAUCUCCAGGUUUGAGGUGUCCUGAUUUGGGAUGUGCAGGUUUGAGAUGUCCUGGGUUGGGGUGUCUUGUUUUGGGGUGUCCUGAUUUGGGAAUGUGCAGGUUUGAGGUGUCCUGGGUUAGGGGGUCCUGGUUUUGGGGGUCUUGUUUUGGGGCAUCCUGAUUUGGGGUUGUCCUGGAUUUGGGGGUCUCCUGGUUUUGGGUGUCUUGGGUUUGGGGAUGUGCAGGUUUGAGGUGUCCUGGGUUGGGGGGUCCUGGAUUUGGGGGUCUCUUGGUUUGGGGUGUCUUGGGUUUGGGGAUGUGCAGGUUUGAGAUGUCCUGCUUUGGUGGGUCCUGGGUUGAGGUGUCUUGGGUUUGGGGAUGUCAAGGUUUGAGGUGUCCUGCUUUGGGGGAAUCUUGUUUUGGGGUGUCCUGAUUUGGGGAUCUCCAGGUUUGAGGUGUCCUGAUUUGGGAUGUGCAGGUUUGAGAUGUCCUGGGUUGGGGUGUCUUGUUUUGGGGUGUCCUGAUUUGGGAAUGUGCAGGUUUGAGGUGUCCUGGGUUAGGGGGUCCUGGUUUUGGGGGUCUUGUUUUGGGGCAUCCUGAUUUGGGGUUGUCCUGGAUUUGGGGGUCUCCUGGUUUUGGGUGUCUUGGGUAUGGGGAUGUGGAAGUUUGAGAGUGUCCUGCU